UUAAGCGACUAAGCGUACACGGUGGAUGCCCUGGCAGUCAGAGGCGAUGAAGGACGUGCUAAUCUGCGAUAAGCGUCGGUAAGGUGAUAUGAACCGUUAUAACCGGCGAUUUCCGAAUGGGGAAACCCAGUGUGUUUCGACACACUAUCAUUAACUGAAUCCAUAGGUUAAUGAGGCGAACCGGGGGAACUGAAACAUCUAAGUACCCCGAGGAAAAGAAAUCAACCGAGAUUCCCCCAGUAGCGGCGAGCGAACGGGGAGGAGCCCAGAGCCUGAAUCAGUGUGUGUGUUAGUGGAAGCGUCUGGAAAGGCGCGCGAUACAGGGUGACAGCCCCGUACACAAAAAUGCACAUACUGUGAGCUCGAUGAGUAGGGCGGGACACGUGGUAUCCUGUCUGAAUAUGGGGGGACCAUCCUCCAAGGCUAAAUACUCCUGACUGACCGAUAGUGAACCAGUACCGUGAGGGAAAGGCGAAAAGAACCCCGGCGAGGGGAGUGAAAAAGAACCUGAAACCGUGUACGUACAAGCAGUGGGAGCACGCUUAGGCGUGUGACUGCGUACCUUUUGUAUAAUGGGUCAGCGACUUAUAUUCUGUAGCAAGGUUAACCGAAUAGGGGAGCCGAAGGGAAACCGAGUCUUAACUGGGCGUUAAGUUGCAGGGUAUAGACCCGAAACCCGGUGAUCUAGCCAUGGGCAGGUUGAAGGUUGGGUAACACUAACUGGAGGACCGAACCGACUAAUGUUGAAAAAUUAGCGGAUGACUUGUGGCUGGGGGUGAAAGGCCAAUCAAACCGGGAGAUAGCUGGUUCUCCCCGAAAGCUAUUUAGGUAGCGCCUCGUGAAUUCAUCUCCGGGGGUAGAGCACUGUUUCGGCAAGGGGGUCAUCCCGACUUACCAACCCGAUGCAAACUGCGAAUACCGGAGAAUGUUAUCACGGGAGACACACGGCGGGUGCUAACGUCCGUCGUGAAGAGGGAAACAACCCAGACCGCCAGCUAAGGUCCCAAAGUCAUGGUUAAGUGGGAAACGAUGUGGGAAGGCCCAGACAGCCAGGAUGUUGGCUUAGAAGCAGCCAUCAUUUAAAGAAAGCGUAAUAGCUCACUGGUCGAGUCGGCCUGCGCGGAAGAUGUAACGGGGCUAAACCAUGCACCGAAGCUGCGGCAGCGACGCUUAUGCGUUGUUGGGUAGGGGAGCGUUCUGUAAGCCUGCGAAGGUGUGCUGUGAGGCAUGCUGGAGGUAUCAGAAGUGCGAAUGCUGACAUAAGUAACGAUAAAGCGGGUGAAAAGCCCGCUCGCCGGAAGACCAAGGGUUCCUGUCCAACGUUAAUCGGGGCAGGGUGAGUCGACCCCUAAGGCGAGGCCGAAAGGCGUAGUCGAUGGGAAACAGGUUAAUAUUCCUGUACUUGGUGUUACUGCGAAGGGGGGACGGAGAAGGCUAUGUUGGCCGGGCGACGGUUGUCCCGGUUUAAGCGUGUAGGCUGGUUUUCCAGGCAAAUCCGGAAAAUCAAGGCUGAGGCGUGAUGACGAGGCACUACGGUGCUGAAGCAACAAAUGCCCUGCUUCCAGGAAAAGCCUCUAAGCAUCAGGUAACAUCAAAUCGUACCCCAAACCGACACAGGUGGUCAGGUAGAGAAUACCAAGGCGCUUGAGAGAACUCGGGUGAAGGAACUAGGCAAAAUGGUGCCGUAACUUCGGGAGAAGGCACGCUGAUAUGUAGGUGAAGUCCCUCGCGGAUGGAGCUGAAAUCAGUCGAAGAUACCAGCUGGCUGCAACUGUUUAUUAAAAACACAGCACUGUGCAAACACGAAAGUGGACGUAUACGGUGUGACGCCUGCCCGGUGCCGGAAGGUUAAUUGAUGGGGUUAGCGGUAACGCGAAGCUCUUGAUCGAAGCCCCGGUAAACGGCGGCCGUAACUAUAACGGUCCUAAGGUAGCGAAAUUCCUUGUCGGGUAAGUUCCGACCUGCACGAAUGGCGUAAUGAUGGCCAGGCUGUCUCCACCCGAGACUCAGUGAAAUUGAACUCGCUGUGAAGAUGCAGUGUACCCGCGGCAAGACGGAAAGACCCCGUGAACCUUUACUAUAGCUUGACACUGAACAUUGAGCCUUGAUGUGUAGGAUAGGUGGGAGGCUUUGAAGUGUGGACGCCAGUCUGCAUGGAGCCGACCUUGAAAUACCACCCUUUAAUGUUUGAUGUUCUAACGUUGACCCGUAAUCCGGGUUGCGGACAGUGUCUGGUGGGUAGUUUGACUGGGGCGGUCUCCUCCUAAAGAGUAACGGAGGAGCACGAAGGUUGGCUAAUCCUGGUCGGACAUCAGGAGGUUAGUGCAAUGGCAUAAGCCAGCUUGACUGCGAGCGUGACGGCGCGAGCAGGUGCGAAAGCAGGUCAUAGUGAUCCGGUGGUUCUGAAUGGAAGGGCCAUCGCUCAACGGAUAAAAGGUACUCCGGGGAUAACAGGCUGAUACCGCCCAAGAGUUCAUAUCGACGGCGGUGUUUGGCACCUCGAUGUCGGCUCAUCACAUCCUGGGGCUGAAGUAGGUCCCAAGGGUAUGGCUGUUCGCCAUUUAAAGUGGUACGCGAGCUGGGUUUAGAACGUCGUGAGACAGUUCGGUCCCUAUCUGCCGUGGGCGCUGGAGAACUGAGGGGGGCUGCUCCUAGUACGAGAGGACCGGAGUGGACGCAUCACUGGUGUUCGGGUUGUCAUGCCAAUGGCACUGCCCGGUAGCUAAAUGCGGAAGAGAUAAGUGCUGAAAGCAUCUAAGCACGAAACUUGCCCCGAGAUGAGUUCUCCCUGACUCCUUGAGAGUCCUGAAGGAACGUUGAAGACGACGACGUUGAUAGGCCGGGUGUGUAAGCGCAGCGAUGCGUUGAGCUAACCGGUACUAAUGAACCGUGAGGCUUAACCUU
rnacentral:rRNA from 1 species